rnacentral:misc_RNA from 1 species
GUGGGGUGAGACCAUUGAGAAAUGUUGAUGAUGGUGAUAAUUGGUGGAGGUAUACUUCUAGUGUAAACGUUACCGACAUUACUCCGAAAUUUAAUAAACCUCCUAUCGAAAAGAAGAAAAAGAAAGUUGAGAGACUCGUGGAGAUGAGAGUGGGCGCGGAGACAUCAUCAGCUAAAGAUAAUUCGAUUACAAGGAAGAAGAAUAAGGAGAAUUCAAAUCAUUCGAUUAAGGAAGAGGUAAUCGAUGUUCCUAAACCAAAAUCAGGGUUGUUACUAAAAUUGAACUUUGAUGAUGUUUUGAACGCGUGGUCCGAUAAGGAAUCACCGUUCUCCGAUGAUAUUCAGGGUUCAGAUGCUGCAGGAAAUGAUGUACAAGCCAGAUUAGCACAAAUAGACUUAUUCUCAGAAAAUGGAGGAAUUAGAGAGGCUAGUGUGUUACGUUACAAAGAAAAACGACGUACUCGAUUAUUUUCUAAAAAAAUUAGAUACCAAGUUAGAAAAGUCAACGCGGAUCGACGACCCAGAAUGAAGGGUAGGUUUGUCAAAAGCCCAAAUUCACCAGAGGAUGAGCUAGGAUGAUUUUUCUAAAAUUAUUAGAAUUUUUUUGGGUAUUUGCAAUUUUGUUUCUUCUAUUUCAUUGUUCUUUUUUCUUUUUUUAAAAAGUUAUUCUUCCUUUUUAUAUUUAGAAUAAAG